GCGGUCAUGGUGGAAUGGUAGACACGCCAUCUUGAGGUGGUGGUGGCGAAAGCUGUGAGAGUUCGAGUCUCUCUGACCGCA
rfam:Pseudanabaena biceps PCC 7429 scaffold_00199, whole genome shotgun sequence.